UACGUAGGAUGCAAGCGUUAUCCGGAAUGAUUGGGCGUAAAGGGUCCGCAGGUGGCAGUGUAAGUCUGCUGUCAAAGAAUGAGGCUUAACCUCAUCAAGGCAGUGGAAACUACACAGCUAGAGUACGGUCGGGGUAGAAGGAAUUCCUGGUGUAGCGGUGAAAUGCGUAGAGAUCAGGAAGAACACCGGUGGCGAAAGCGUUCUGCUAGACCUGUACUGACACUGAGGGACGAAAGCUAGGGGAGCGAAUGGG
rnacentral:rRNA from 1 species